rnacentral:rRNA from 1 species
UACGGAGGAUCCAAGCGUUAUCCGGAUUUAUUGGGUUUAAAGGGUGCGUAGGCGGCUUUUUAAGUCAGGGGUGAAAGACGGUGGCUCAACCAUCGCAGUGCCUUUGAUACUGAGAGCUUGAUUAAACUUGAGGCAGGCGGAAUGUGACAAGUAGCGGUGAAAUGCAUAGAUAUGUCACAGAACACCGAUUGCGAAGGCAGCUUGCUAAGGUUUUAAUGACGCUGAGGCACGAAAGCGUGGGGAGCAAACAGG